UCCAUACCAUUUAUUUGUGUGAUGAUUUAAUUCACCGUAUGGAGAAAAUGGCAUGCCAAAAGUUGGCAUCACUUGGAGAUUAUAUGGCACCCCUUUGUUACCUAUUUAAAGGGGGUGCUAGACCUUGGUUCUACAUCCAAAAUUUUGUUGAGAUAGGCAUGACAAUGAGGAGGAAAAAGAGAGGAAAAGUAUAGAAAAAAGAUAAAGAAAAAGAGAGAGAAAAAUAAAAAGGAA
rnacentral:lncRNA from 1 species